UACGGAGGGGGCUAGCGUUGUUCGGAAUUACUGGGCGUAAAGCGCACGUAGGCGGCUUUGUAAGUUAGAGGUGAAAGCCCGGGGCUCAACCCCGGAAUUGCCUUUAAGACUGCGUCGCUUGAACACGGGAGAGGUGAGUGGAAUUCCGAGUGUAGAGGUGAAAUUCGUAGAUAUUCGGAAGAACACCAGUGGCGAAGGCGGCUCACUGGACCGUUGUUGACGCUGAGGUGCGAAAGCGUGGGGAGCAAACAGG
rnacentral:rRNA from 1 species